AACGCGAAGAACCUUACCAAAUCUUGACAUCCUUCUGACCGACUCGUAAUGGAGUCUUUCCUACGGGACAGAAGAGACAGGUGGUGCAUGGUUGUCGUCAGCUCGUGUCGUGAGAUGUUGGGUUAAGUCCCGCAACGAGCGCAACCCUUAUCCUUAGUAGCCAGCAGUUCGGCUGGGCACUCUGGGGAGACUGCCAGGGAUAACCUGGAGGAAGGUGGGGAUGACGUCAAAUCAUCAUGCCCCUUAUGAUUUGGGCUACACACGUGCUACAAUGGCGUAAACAGAGGGAAGCGAAGCCGUGAGGUGGAGCAAAUCCCAAAAAUAACGUCUCAGUUCGGAUUGUAGUCUGCAACUCGACUACAUGAAGCUGGAAUCGCUAGUAAUCGCGAAUCAGAAUGUCGCGGUGAAUACGUUCCCGGGUCUUGUACACACCG
rnacentral:rRNA from 1 species